CUUCGACUGUAAAAGCAUAAACUCUGAUCUCACUCAUAAGACCUACAGAGGCUACAAUCUGUGCCAAGCUGAUGUUCCAGAGUUCCAAUGGUGUGUAUUCUGAAUUAAUGCAGACUUGGACGCUGAGUAUUUUAUGACAGAAGUCAACGCAGCUUCAACCCUCCCGAUUCAUCCCGACCCAUUUUGAAUUAGAUUCGGUUCAAAGAGUAACACAUUACUCCUUUGACUGUUGAUGAGAUACGAUGGCAAAGAGCCAGAGAAAAUUUACUUGGAGUUUCAUCUAAUAUCAUUUCGUAGUGUCCUCAGUUGAUCUUCCUGCAGUUGAGCCUAAUCUCGCCGUCGGUGCCGGUGAGAGGACUAAUGUUCCCCAUGUUCACCAUGGCGGUAGCGAAGUCGCUGAAGAAGGCG